ensembl:snoRNA small nucleolar RNA SNORA57
CCUCCAUUCUUGGCAUGCACGGUGUUUUUCCGUACUCGUGUGUGUAUGUUCGGAGGAACAUAAAGUCCAGUGAAAUGUCUUCGGUACUAGUAUGUUUCCCUAUCAUCUAGUCCUAUCCUCAGUCACUGGAACAGGG